GGGCCCGUAGCAUAGCCUGGCUGGUGCGUACGACUGAUAAUCGUAAGGUCCGGAGUUCAAAUCUCCGCGGGCCCA
rfam:Archaeon GW2011_AR11 QT04_C0055, whole genome shotgun sequence.